rnacentral:rRNA from 1 species
UACGUAGGGGGCAAGCGUUGUCCGGAAUCAUUGGGCGUAAAGAGCGUGUAGGCGGCCCGAUAAGUCCGCUGUGAAAGUCCAGGGCUCAACCCUGGAAUGCCGGUGGAUACUGUCGGGCUCGAAUCCGGAAGAGGUGAGUGGAAUUCCUGGUGUAGCGGUGAAAUGCGCAGAUAUCAGGAGGAACACCCGUGGCGAAAGCGGCUCUCUGGGACGGUACUGACGCUGAGACGCGAAAGCGUGGGGAGCAAACAGG